rnacentral:tRNA from 1 species
AACAGAGAAGUAAAAAAAUUUACAAAUAGUUUCGACCUAAAAAUAGAGUAUCUCCCUGU